rnacentral:rRNA from 1 species
UGCGUAGGUGGUAUGUUAAGUCAGAUGUGAAAGCCCUGGGCUCAACCUGGGAACUGCAUUUGAAACUAGCAAACUAGAGUAUGGUAGAGGGAAGUGGAAUUUCCGGUGUAGCGGUGAAAUGCGUAGAUAUCGGAAGGAACACCAGUGGCGAAGGCGACUUCCUGGACCAUAACUGACACUGAGGCACGAAAGCGUGGGGAGCAAACAGGAUUAGAUACCCUGGUAGUCC